UUCUGUUUUGGUUUCUUCUCUCCCAUGUGUAAGCUGUGGUUCUGAUCUUGAGUUGGGAUCCUAAUCCAAGGCUAAGGGAGGGAAAUGAAACAAAAGACUUCAUCUGUUUUGUGCUUUAAAAACAGUUUUAAAAGAUGAAGUUCUUGCUGGUUUUGUCUCAAACAUUAUCAUCCUUUUCUACCCUUUGUCUCUUAAUAUUUUCAAACUUGGUAAAAGGCUUUAAGUCUAAUGAAACCAAUGUUUGAGGGAGGGAGAAAGAUUGAUGAUGAUUUGAAGAAAAUCGAUUUGUAAGAGCAUUUGAAUUUCAGAUUUAAAGAAAAGCUCUUUGAAAGGAUUUAAAAAAAAAAAUCUGAAAAUGUUUUGAACAGAUUCUUGAGUAAUCUGAUUUCGAAAAUGCUUUAAAAAUGUGUUAACUGGUGGGAUGUUCAUGCCUCACCAGCAUUGUGAUCAGCCAUGAAGCUUGAAGGCCAUGGACUGCAAUCUGCUUCCGCAAAACUCUCAUUCUCCUCCAUACUCUUACUCUCCAUUAUUCUCUCAUACUUUUGAUACUUAUUCUCAAAUUCUCUGGUUACUU
rnacentral:lncRNA from 1 species